UGGACAGAAAGAAGAAUUCCUUGAUAUUACCUCUUCUAGAUCCUUUUCUGAAGACUGCGACACGGGUGCUGGGGCAAAAGGUGACUAAUGGAUUUUUGUAUAAAAGCUUUAAGAACUCGAGCACGAUGAUAUCGAAUCUGAUAGGGCCAAAAGAGCAAAUGGCGUUCAUGAACCACCCUGUUAGCAAUUGUUACUAUAUUGUCUCGGGUAUACCUCAGAGUACUACGUUUACAUCAGUGACGAACAAUGAUAAAUUGAUGGUUGUGGUAACAAUGGAGAAGGAAUUUAUUGAUUCAGAACUUUUCACUUCAUGUAUGGAUGAAGCCUUUGAAAACAUUUUCC